rnacentral:rRNA from 1 species
UCGAACGCGAAAGUCCUUCGGGAUGAGUAGAGUGGCGGACGGGUGAGUAACGCGUAGGAAUCUGUCCUGUAGUGGGGGAUAACGUUUCGAAAGGAACGCUAAUACCGCAUACGCCCCAAGGGGGAAAGCGGGGGAUCUUCGGACCUCGUGCUAGAGGAGGAGCCUGCGUCGGAUUAGCUAGUUGGUAGGGUAAAGGCCUACCAAGGCGACGAUCCGUAGCUGGUCUGAGAGGAUGAUCAGCCACACCGGAACUGAGACACGGUCCGGACUCCUACGGGAGGCAGCAGUGGGGAAUAUUGCGCAAUGGGCGAAAGCCUGACGCAGCCAUACCGCGUGUGUGAAGAAGGCCUUCGGGUUGUAAAGCACUUUCAGUGGGGAGGAAAAGCCGGCGGCUAAUAUCCGCUGGCCGUGACGCUACCCACAGAAGAAGCACCGGCUAAUUCCGUGCCAGCAGCCGCGGUAAUACGGAAGGUGCGAGCGUUAAUCGGAAUUACUGGGCGUAAAGCGCACGUAGGCGGCUUGGUAAGUCGGAUGUGAAAGCCCCGGGCUCAACCUGGGAA